rnacentral:lncRNA from 1 species
AAUGAAACAGGAGAGUUCCCUGAUUUCCUCCCGGCCCCCGCCCUCCCACAGCCCUUUGCAGGACGUGCAACAGGGUUGUGGCUCGUGUGUUCGGUCUCUGCCUGCUGAAACCCCUUAUGGGAGGUGGAGCAUGCAGACGGACGGGUGCAGGAGCCAGGGUGCAAAAGCUGGGGCGCUGGGCUUCCAGCCCCACGGCAGUGUCCAGGGGCAGGAUCCCGUGAUUCCCGGAGCCCAAAUGGGCGUGUGUUACAGUGUGCUCUUUUAGCCUUACCAUCAGCUGACGGCUUAAGUGUUAACCAGCUCAAUAGACCCUCUGCCUUUUUGCAAGCGCAGAGGGUCAGUGUGACAGUUUCUGUAUCUCAGCUCUUGUCUCACCUCCCAGAAGAAUCAGGUCACACAUGGACUUGAAGGAUGGAAAACACAGAUCCUGGUGCCGAACAUGAGGACAGGGCAGGCCGAAGGAGAAAGUGGAAGGAGGGGAGCUUCUCUCUCAGCCUCAUCCUUCUGGGCCUGGAUGCUGGAGAGUCAUGAGGUGCUUCAGAGUACUCUGGGUGAGGAGGGAAAGAUGGUGCCCACCACAUGGAGGCCAGCCUAGGUCUUGUAUGAAACCUGUGAGGAGAUUCUCUCUCCCUUGCUGUCUUUGAAAAAGCAAGUUGCCAUGUGAAGAGGGCCAUAUAGCAUAGGAGCUGAAGGCAGCCUCCAACUGACGGCAAGAAAAUGAGGUCCUCAGUCUGACAACCUGCAAGAAACUGAAUGUUCUAAAAGCCACAUGAGCUUGGGAGCAGAUCUGACCCCAGCCAAAUCUCUGAAGUCCGCAGGCAGGAAAUGAAGAUCAGAAAAAGGCUAUUGUCUCAUGAAUAUGAGCCAGACUCCACAGAAGCUGGAGUCCUUCAUUAUGGAGCUAAACACAUACACCUGGCUUAGGAGUCAGAAAAACUGAAAGAGAAUUCAGGGAAGUAGAGAAAUUGCAAGCCCAGAUGCUGCUUCAUACCAAAGAAGCAAGUCAGCAGGUCAGCAACAAUGUGUAUCAGUUCCAAAAUGACUUACACAGGUACCAAGACAAGACAUUAUAUACACUUAUAUAGUCAAAUACUUUAAAACUGUUAACAAACUUGCUACAAUUGUCUCAUUUGUCUUUUAACCUUAAUAUCACAGAUCAAGUUUGUAAUCUCAAAAGUUCACCCUGGCUGCUGUGUGGAGUAUUCUCUUAUCUGCUCAUAUUACACUGUGCUUAUUCAUUCAUCAGUUAAUGGAAAUUUGGGUUGUUUCCUGAUUUUGACUGUAAUGAAUAAUGUUGCUGUAAACAUUCAUGUACAGUUUUGUGUGGACAUGCUUUUCUUUCUCUUGGGUAGGUUCCUAUGAGUGGAAUCACUAGAUUGUAUGGUAAAUGUAUGUUUAACUUUUAAAGAAACUGUCAAACUGUUUUCUAACAUGAACGGGCCAUUUUACGUUCUUAUCAACAAUAUAUGAUGGUUUCAAUUUUCCCACAUCCUCACCA